rnacentral:rRNA from 1 species
GAUGAACGCUGGCGGCGUGCUUAACACAUGCAAGUCGAACGGAAAGGCCCUGCUUGCAGGGUACUCGAGUGGCGAACGGGUGAGUAACACGUGGGUGAUCUGCCCUGCACUUCGGGUUAAGCCUGGGCAACUGGGUCUAAUACCGGAUAGAAGACAUAUUUAGUGUGAUGGUUGGAUAGUUUUUUCGGUGUUGGAUGAGCUCGCUGCCUAGCAGCUUGUUGGGGGGGUAAUGGCCUACCAAGGCGGCGGCGGGUAGCCGGCCUGCGAGGGUGGACGGCCACACAGAGACUGAGAGACGGCCCAGACUCCUACGGGAGGCAGAAGGGGGGAAGAUUGCACGAGGGGCGCAAGCCUGAUGCAGCGACGCCGCGGGGGGGAUGACGGCCUUCGGGUUGUAAACUCCUUUCGCUAGGGACGAAGCUUUUUGUGACGGUACCUAGAUAAGAAGCACCGGCUAACUACGUG